GCCAGAGGAGGCGAUCGUUAUCCGGAGUCAUUGGGCGUAAAGGGUACGUAGGCGGCUAGUCAAGUCUGAGGUUAAAGACCACAGCUUAACUGUGGAAAGGCCUUGGAAACUGACUGGCUAGAGUGGGGCAGGGGUUGCGGGAAUUCCCGGUGUAGCGGUGAAAUGCGUAGAUAUCGGGAAGAACACCUGAGGCGAAAGCGCGCAACUGGGCCCUGACUGACGCUGAGGUACGAAAGCUAGGGGAGCGAAUGGG
rnacentral:rRNA from 1 species